rnacentral:tRNA from 1 species
GCCCUCAUCGUCUAGAGGCCCAGGACACCGCCCUCUCACGGCGGCGACGCCGGUUCGAAUCCGGCUGGGGGUA